rnacentral:ncRNA from 1 species
CAACAAGUGAUGAUAGGAUUCAGUAGUCAAUUAUCUCCCUGUCGAAGAGAUCUGAUGGCCGGUGCGAGUCAGAACACAGAUAAUGGCGAAUUACCCCCUUGAACUUUUCCUGCGAAGAUCAGUAGCAGGAAACGGCCGGACCGUUAUCCGAUUGAGUGGAAGAGAAAUUCUUCAAGCAAGGGUGGUACCGCGUUAACCACGUCCCUUUA